AGGGACCUACGGGGCGCAGCAGUGGGGGAUAUUGCACAAUGGGGGAAACCCUGAUGCAGCAACGCCGCGUGAGUGAAGAAGGUCUUCGGAUUGUAAAGCUCUGUUCUUGGUGAAGAUAAUGACGGUAGCCAAGGAGAAAGCUCCGGCUAACUACGUGCCAGCAGCCGCGGGAAUACGUAGGGAGCGAGCGUUGUCCGGAUUUACUGGGUGUAAAGGGUGCGCAGGCGGCUCUGCAAGUCAGGCGUGAAAGCUAGGGGCUCAACCCCUACACUGCGCUUGAAACUGAGGAGCUUGAGUGAAGUAGG
rnacentral:rRNA from 1 species